CAAGAAUCAUUUUAUAUGCAUAAUAUAAAAUCUAAUUGUGUUAAAUUUAACAUUUAGGUUUUCUUGCGCUAAAAUUUGGAACUGCCUUCCUUAUAUCAUGACCAGAAAUUAUUUAGUUUACGUAUAUAGCUUCAAACGAAUAAUUACAUGCGACUUACUCAAUAAUUAUUAAUUAUCACUCAUGCAACCUUGUACUGUAUACGUGCGUAUUUGCUUGUGUGUGAUAAUGUAUGUAUACAUUUAUAUGUGUGUACAUUUAUUAUAUUUUAUUUGUUC